rnacentral:lncRNA from 1 species
CAGCAUCAUACAGAUGACAAAACACUACAGAUUCAAACACAUAUCCACAUAUCCAUUAACUGCUCCAGCUACACGAGUUUGUACCAUGAGAACUGAAUUAAUGCCAGACUGAGCGACAACUAGUGCAACUUCAUAGGAAGUGGCUCUCGUUUUUUUCAGCAUCUCCCGAGUGUGUUGCUCCCCCACCCCUUUUUCGUCUCCUGGUCAUACUUUCUUCUUGUGACGCCGUAGUUUCCGAAGACCUUCUCAUAUUUCUAAAACGAAUUCCCCUUUGAUUGUGUCUGAUUAAACAAUGAAGAUGGAAUAAUAAGAAACACGAUGCCUCUAGAUAGCAACAACUGGUGGCACAAUGGCGCAGUGGGUUUGACCAGGUUCUGCUCUCUGGCAGGACUGAGAUUCGAGUCCUGCUUGGGGUGCCUUGCGAUGGACUGGCGUCCUGUCCUGGAUUGGCUGAAGCCACUUGUCCCGAGUGGGGUCAUGCCAACCGGAGCCUAGCCUGGCAACACGGGACAUGGGUCUGGAGGAGGAGGGGACACACCCUGGACGGGAUACUGCUCUAUUAGAAGGCACCCAAGCAGGACUCAAACCCCAGAUCUACCAGAGAGCAUCCCCUGGCCAAGCCCGCUGCACGACCGCACCUGCACGACAUUCAUAUCCUUUCCAGCA